rnacentral:lncRNA from 1 species
UCUGACAUGUUCAUGUUGUAUGUCUAUUUUGCUUAGUGCACCCCUCUGACAGUUGUCAAGAUCUCCCAAUAUAGAUAGAGUAAAAUUUCAUUUCCCGGUGGAUUUACCAUAGAAACUGUCUUCUAUUUCAGGACAGUGGUAGUACAAAUCUGGUGGGUACAAUUGACAAAAAUUCCCAAGAUUAUCCAAAAUUUGCCAAAUCUACAAACUUAAUUAAUAAUAUUUUUUUUGAACAAACUCAACUUGGCAGGAUUGACAUUUUCACUGCCCAGCAUGUAAACCCGGUUUCCAUCGAUGUUCAUGUUUCCAAUGGAUGACAGAUCAAUGUAGCUAGCACAGGAUUCACGUGCAACAGGAGGUUCCUUUCUUGAUUUUCCUUCCUAUCCUACAUCCUGGAAAGCCAAAGAGAGCAAUCAUCGAGAUACCUCCCCUGCUAUCUACUCUAUCCCCUUAGCACUCAACUUUAUCCUACAUGCUCACACCAUUCCCAACGACGCCAAACAGGCUUGCCUAUUAGGCCGUUACAUAUUCCUCGCUUCCUCAGUGCUCCGGACAGCUAGAACGAAACCCCAAUCAGGAGUGCACCUCAUCCACCUUCUCGCAUAGUAGUUUAUAGAUUACAUUACACUCAAUCUUGCCGUACUAUAGAAUCUUGAUCUUUU